rnacentral:rRNA from 1 species
UGGGGAAUAUUGGACAAUGGGGGAAACCCUGAUCCAGCAAUGCCGCGUGUGUGAUGAAGGUCUUAGGAUUGUAAAGCACUUUCACCCGUGAAGAUGAUGACUGUAGCGGGAGAAGAAGCCCCGGCUAACUCCGUGCCAGCAGCCGCGGUAAUACGGAGGGGGCUAGCGUUGUUCGGAAUUACUGGGCGUAAAGGGCGUGUAGGCGGUUUGUCUAGUCAGAGGUGAAAUCCCCAGGCUUAACCUGGGAACUGCCUUUGAAACUGGCAGGCUAGAGACCGGAAGAGGGUAGUGGAAUUCCCAGUGUAGAGGUGAAAUUCGUAGAUAUUGGGAAGAACACCAGUGGCGAAGGCGACUACCUGGUCCGGUUCUGACGCUGAGGCGCGAAAGCGUGGGGAGCAAACAGG